rnacentral:rRNA from 1 species
GACGAACGCUGGCGGCGUCCCUAAUACAUGCAAGUCGAGCGAAGUUUUUCUGGUGCUUGCACUAGAAAAACUUAGCGGCGAACGGGUGAGUAACACGUAAAGAACCUGCCUCAUAGACUGGGACAACUAUUGGAAACGAUAGCUAAUACCGGAUAACAGUAUUUCUCGCAUGAGAGAUAUUUAAAAGUUGGUUAUGCUAACACUAUGAGAUGGCUUUGCGGUGCAUUAGCUAGUUGGUGGGGUAAAGGCCCACCAAGGCGACGAUGCAUAGCCGACCUGAGAGGGUGAUCGGCCACACUGGGACUGAGACACGGCCCAGACUCCUACGGGAGGCAGCAGUAGGGAAUCUUCCGCAAUGGGCGAAAGCCUGACGGAGCAACGCCGCGUGAGUGAAGAAGGAUUUCGGUUCGUAAAGCUCUGUUGUUAGGGAAGAAUGGAUAUGUAGUAACUAUACAUGUAAGAGACGGUACCUAACCAGAAAGCCACGGCUAACUACGUG